AAGUGGCCACCACCGGCCCUCCCACAUGCUUCACUCCUCGAUUUAUGAGCCUGACACUUUAAUUUGCAGGAAAUCCAAAAGUGUCUAGCGGGAGGGUUGGGAGGGCUUACCUCAUGACUGACUGACUGACUGAGUUUAGUUUUACGC